rnacentral:rRNA from 1 species
UACGUAGGGUGCGAGCGUUGUCCGGAAUUAUUGGGCGUAAAGGGCUCGUAGGCGGUUUGUCGCGUCGGGGGUGAAAACUCAGGGCUUAACCCUGAGCCUGCUUCCGAUACGGGCAGACUAGAGGUAUGCAGGGGAGAACGGAAUUCCUGGUGUAGCGGUGAAAUGCGCAGAUAUCAGGAGGAACACCGGUGGCGAAGGCGGUUCUCUGGGCAUUACCUGACGCUGAGGUGCGAAAGCGUGGGGAGCAAACAGG